rnacentral:lncRNA from 1 species
AGAUUUGGAUAUCUUAGAAGAGUGUUCCUUUGUUCAACAUAGGGCCUCCAAAGCCUGUUCUGAGACAAAAUGCUUCCCUGCUUAUUUCCAAGCCUGCUGAAGACCGCUUUGAAAAUCCUUUCAAGAUGGAUCCUUUUGCUGCUCCCUCACAAGGUUUAAUUACAGCUCAACAACCACAAUUGUCUUCUGUUCCUUGUAAUGAUCCUUUUGGAAAUCCAUUUGCAUAAAUUAGUCUGCCCACCAAAUGUGAAAAGAAAACAAGUAUUAUGGAAUGCAGCUCUGAGAUGCUCACGGUCCAUCUCAUUUCUCUUCACCACAAGUGGGUGCUAUUGGCAAAACUAUAAUUGGAUUGUUGGGUCAAACAGAUACAAGGAACUAACUGGACACUGAGCUUACUGUCUUCAGUCUGCAUUAUCUGCCUCAUUCUUCAACUUUUGGAUUCAUUCAAAAGACCUUGGAACUUCUUAAGCCAAGGAAGCAAUUUGCUUGAGAGCAAACUGGAACCGCUGGUAAUUUUCAGCCCAUGUGGAUGGAAGAAAACACUCUAUGGUGUCUCUUAUUCCCUCACUUUCUGGUUUCAUCAAUGCCUAGAAGCACUAAAAGUGAAAAACGAAAGAUAAAUUAAUGGUUCUUUGUGGACAAAGACACACAGAUUUGUACUCACUUCUGCACAAGGGAAGACCAUGAUAUCAGCAGCACUGAGUUGCCAAAAACAAAAUAAAACAGUCAAGUGCUAUUGUAGAGUUUUCCUACUAAUAUUAUUAGAAUUUUAAAAAACACCUUCUAGCACUCUAUUUACGGCCCGCCCAAAUGUCAAGGUGAAAGAAUAUUUAAAUUAUGAAAUGGGCAAAUAUUGUAUUUUAUCCUAACUGGUGAGUUCUAAAAAUGCAAUUGCUAGCUGUAAAUUAUGCAAAUUGAAACAUCUUUGAAGGUAUCUUGUCCAGGGUAUCAAAUGCUGUUUUCCUAGAACAUAUUUUGUUAUGGAUAAAGAUAAGAUUCUCAAUUUUGGCAUCAGUGCUGAAAAAAAGGGUAGAUACAAAAAUAAGUGGGUUCUAAGAUAAGUUAUUAAACUGGAAAGCAAUUGUACUUUGAACAACUAGUCUGAGCAAAAUGAUAUUCGUGUCAAUUAUGAUAUGGCUAGAGGCUGAUGAUUCACUCUUUAAACAAUAAGUUUAAUAAACAAUAAGUUUUACAAAACUAUUGUUAACAGCCAGAUGUCUCUCCAGUACAGCAGUUACCAAUAUAAACUUGAAAUGGUGUUGAUGUUUAAAUGUUUAGGUGAAUGCAACAUGGUGAUCUACUUCCUAAAAAAUACCAAGUAUCUAGUGAUCUAGCUCUGUAUAAUAACUCUAUUGCACAUUCCUGUAAUACAAAGUUCUCCAUGUAUAUCUUAGCCUGAAAAAACAGAACUUUCUUCUGGACUGUGUUACACUGUAAAAAGUACUCGGGUGUUCUGGCAAUUAAAUGUAACUUCAUUUCAAAUUGGCACUCAGAGGAAAUGUUUG